AUUGAACGCUGGCGGCAUGCUUUACACAUGCAAGUCGAACGGUAACAGGCCUUCGGGUGCUGACGAGUGGCGAACGGGUGAGUAAUGCAUCGGAACGUGCCCAGAGGUGGGGGAUAACGCAGCGAAAGCUGUGCUAAUACCGCAUGUGAUCUGAGGAUGAAAGCGGGGGACCAAGCAGCAAUGUUUGGCCUCGCGCCUCUGGAUCGGCCGAUGUCAGAUUAGGUAGUUGGUGGGGUAAAGGCCUACCAAGCCGACGAUCUGUAGCUGGUCUGAGAGGACGACCAGCCACACUGGGACUGAGACACGGCCCAGACUCCUACGGGAGGCAGCAGUGGGGAAUUUUGGACAAUGGGCGCAAGCCUGAUCCAGCAAUGCCGCGUGCGGGAAGAAGGCCUUCGGGUUGUAAACCGCUUUUGUACGGAACGAAAAGGCUCUGGCUAAUACCUGGGGCUGAUGACGGUACCGUAAGAAUAAGCACCGGCUAACUACGUG
rnacentral:rRNA from 1 species